rnacentral:rRNA from 1 species
UACGGAGGGUGCGAGCGUUGUCCGGAUUUAUUGGGCGUAAAGAGCUCGUAGGUGGUUGAUCGCGUCGGAAGUGAAAACCUGGGGCUUAACCCUGGGCGUGCUUUCGAUACGGGUUGACUUGAGGAAGGUAGGGGAGAAUGGAAUUCCUGGUGUAGCGGUGGAAUGCGCAGAUAUCAGGAGGAACACCAGUGGCGAAGGCGGUUCUCUGGACCUUUCCUGACGCUGAGGAGCGAAAGCGUGGGGAGCAAACAGGCUUAGAUACCCUGGUAGUCCACGCUGUAAACGGUGGGUACUAGGUGUGGGGUCCAUUCCACGGAUUCCGUGCCGUAGCCAACGCAUUAAGUACCCCGCCUGGGGAGUACGGCCGCAAGGCUAAA